rnacentral:rRNA from 1 species
UACGUGGGGUGCGAGCGUUGUCCGGAUUUACUGGGCGUAAAGCGCGUGUAGGCGGUUGAGUUAGUCUGCUGUGUAAUCUCCGGGCUUAACCUGGAGGGGUCGGUGGAAACUGCUCGACUUGAGGACGGUAGAGGGGGGUGGAAUUCCCGGUGUAGUGGUGAAAUGCGUAGAGAUCGGGAGGAACACCAGCGGCGAAGGCGGCCCCCUGGGCCGCUCCUGACGCUGAUACGCGAAGGCCAGGGUAGCGAACGGG